rnacentral:rRNA from 1 species
GACGAAGGGGGCUAGCGUUGUUCGGAAUUACUGGGCGUAAAGCGCGUGUAGGCGGUUGCCCAAGUCGGGUGUGAAAGCCUUGAGCUCAACUCAAGAAAUGCACUCGGUACUGGGUGACUAGAGGACCGGAGAGGAUAGUGGAAUUCCCAAGUGUAGUGGUGAAAUACGUAGAGAUUGGGAAGAACACCAGUGGCGAAGGCGGCUAUCUGGACGGUUUCUGACGCUAAGACGCGAAAGCGUGGGGAGCAAACAGG